rnacentral:rRNA from 1 species
UACGUAGGGUGCGAGCAUUGUCCGGAAUUAUUGGGCGUAAAGGGCUCGUAGGCGGCCAACUAAGUCGGAUGUGAAAUCCCCAGGCUUAACCUGGGAACUGCAUCCGAUACUGGAUGGCUUGAAUCCGGGAGAGGGAUGCAGAAUUCCAGGUGUAGCGGUGAAAUGCGUAGAUAUCUGGAGGAAUACCGGUGGCGAAGGCGGCAUCCUGGACCGGCAUUGACGCUGAUGAGCGAAAGCUAGGGGAGCAAACAGG